ensembl:lncRNA
GCCGAUUUGCGCCAUUUUGGGGUGGAUAUUGACCAUUUCAGGGCUGAUUAUAGCCACUCUGGUGCUCAUUUGGGCCAAUUUUGACCAUUUUGUGGUGGAUUUGGGCAAUUUGGGGGCUGAUAAGUGUCAAUUCAGUCCAUUUUGGGGUUGAUUUGGUCCCAUUCGGACCAUUUAGGGUCGGGUUUGGUCCCAUUCAGACCAUUUGGGGUUGGAUUUGGUCCCAUUUGGACCAUUUAGGGGCAGAUUUGGUCCCAUUCAGACCAUUUAGGGUGAGAUUUGGUCCCAUUGGGACCUUUUAGGGGCAGAUUUGGUCCCACUGGGACCAUUUGGGGUCGGGUUUGGUCCCAUUCAGACCAUUUAGGGGCAGAUUUGGUCCCAUUGGGACCAUUUAGGGUCCGAUUUGGUCCCACUGGGACCAUUUAGGGUUGGAUUUGGUCCCAUUCAGACCAUUUAGGGUCGGAUUUGGUCCCAUUGGGACCAUUUAUGGUCGGAUUUGGUCCCAUUGGGACCACUGAUGGUCGGAUUUGGUCCCAUUGGGACCAUUUAGGGGUCGGAUUUGGUCCCAUUGGGACCAGUGAUGGUCGGAUUUGGUCCCAUUGGGACCAUUUGGGGUCUGAUUUGAUCCCACUCGGACCAUUUAGGGUCUGAUUUGGUCCCAUUGGGACCAUUUAGGGUCGGAUUUGGUCCCAUUGGGACCAUUGAUGGUCGGAUUUGGUCCCAUUGGGACCAUUUAGGGGUUGGAUUUGCUCCCCCUGGGACCAUUUGGGGUCUGAUUUGAUCCCACUGGGACCAUUUAGGGUCCGAUUUGGUCCCAUUGGGACCAUUUAGGGUCGGAUUUGCUCCCACUGGGACCAUUUGGGGUCUGAUUUGCUCCCAUUGGGACCAUUGAUGGUCGGAUUUCAUCCCACUGGGACCAUUUAGGGUUGGAUUUGGUCCCAUUCAGGCCAUUUGGUGUUGGAUUUGAUCCCACUGGGACCAUUUAGGGUCGGAUUUGAUCCCACUGGGACGGUUUGGGGUCGGAUUUGGUCCCAUUGGGACCAUUUAUGGUCGGAUUUGGUCCCAUUGGGACCAUUUAGGGGUUGGAUUUGCUCCCAUUGGGACCAUUGAUGGUCGGAUUUGGUCCCAUUGGGACCAUUUAGGGUCGGAUUUGCUCCCAUUGGGACCACUGAUGGUCGGAUUUGGUCCCAUGGGGACCAUUUAGGGUCGGAUUUGCUCCCCCUGGGACCAUUUGGGGUCUGAUUUGAUCCCACUGGGACCAUUUAGGGUCCGAUUUGGUCCCAUUGGGACCAUUUAGGGUCGGAUUUGCUCCCACUGGGACCAUUUGGGGUCGGAUUUGCUCCCACUGGGACCAUUUAGGGUCGGAUUUGCUCCCACUGGGACCAUUUAGGGUCUAAUUUGCUCCCAUUGGGACCAUUGAUGGUCGGUUUUGGUCCCAUUGGGACCAUUUAGGGUCGGAUUUGGUCCCAUUGGGACCAUUUAGGGGUCGGAUUUGGUCCCAUUGGGACCAUUUAGGGUCGGAUUUGCUCCCACUGGGACCAUUUAGGGGUCGGAUUUGGUCCGAUUGGGACCAUUUAGGGUCUGAUUUGCUCCCACUGGGACCAUUGAUGGUCGGAUUUGGUCCCAUUGGGACCAUUGAUGGUCGGAUUUGGUCCCAUGGGGACCAUUUAGGGUCCGAUUUGGUCCCAUGGGGACCACUGAUGGUCGGAUUUGGUCCCACUGGGACCAUUUAGGGUCAGAUUUGGUCCCAUUGGGACCAUUUAGGGGUUGGAUUUGGUCCCAUUGGGACCAUUUGGGGUCAGAUUUGAUCCCACUGGGACCAUUUAGGGUCCGAUUUGGUCCCA